rnacentral:rRNA from 1 species
GCCUAACACAUGCAGUCGAGCGGAUGACGGGAGCUUGCUCCUUGAUUCAGCGGCGGACGGGUGAGUAAUGCCUAGGAAUCUGCCUGGUAGUGGGGGACAACGUUUCGAAAGGAACGCUAAUACCGCAUACGUCCUACGGGAGAAAGCAGGGGACCUUCGGGCCUUGCGCUAUCAGAUGAGCCUAGGUCGGAUUAGCUAGUUGGUGGGGUAAUGGCUCACCAAGGCGACGAUCCGUAACUGGUCUGAGAGGAUGAUCAGUCACACUGGAACUGAGACACGGUCCAGACUCCUACGGGAGGCAGCAGUGGGGAAUAUUGGACAAUGGGCGAAAGCCUGAUCCAGCCAUGCCGCGUGUGUGAAGAAGGUCUUCGGAUUGUAAAGCACUUUAAGUUGGGAGGAAGGGCAUUAACCUAAUACGUUAGUGUUUUGACGUUACCGACAGAAUAAGCACCGGCUAACUCUGUGCCAGCAGCCGCGGUAAUACAGAGGGUGCAAGCGUUAAUCGGAAUUACUGGGCGUAAAGCGCGCGUAGGUGGUUUGUUAAGUUGGAUGUGAAAGCCCCGGGCUCAACCUGGGAACUGCAUCCAAAACUGGCAAGCUAGAGUACGGUAGAGGGUGGUGGAAUUUCCUGUGUAGCGGUGAAAUGCGUAGAUAUAGGAAGGAACACCAGUGGCGAAGGCGACCACCUGGACUGAUACUGACACUGAGGUGCGAAAGCGUGGGGAGCAAACAGGAUUAGAUACCCUGGUAGUCCACGCCGUAAACGAUGUCAACUAGCCGUUGGAAUCCUUGAGAUUUUAGUGGCGCAGCUAACGCAUUAAGUUGACCGCCUGGGGAGUACGGCCGCAAGGUUAAAACUCAAAUGAAUUGACGGG